AGUGAACGCUGGCGGUAGGCCUAACACAUGCAAGUCGAACGGCAGCACAGUAAGAGCUUGCUCUUACGGGUGGCGAGUGGCGGACGGGUGAGGAAUACAUCGGAAUCUACUUUUUCGUGGGGGAUAACGUAGGGAAACUUACGCUAAUACCGCAUACGACCUACGGGUGAAAGCAGGGGAUCUUCGGACCUUGCGCGAUUGAAUGAGCCGAUGUCGGAUUAGCUAGUUGGCGGGGUAAAGGCCCACCAGGGCGACGAUCCGUAGCUGGUCUGAGAGGAUGAUCAGCCACACUGGAACUGAGGCACGGUCCAGACUCCUACGGGAGGCAGCAGUGGGGAAUAUUGGACAAUGGGCGCAAGCCUGAUCCAGCCAUACCGCGUGGGUGAAGAAGGCCUUCGGGUUGUAAAGCCCUUUUGUUGGGAAAGAAAAGCAGCAGGUUAAUACCCCGCUGUUCUGACGGUACCCAAAGAAUAAGCACCGGCUAACUUCGUG
rnacentral:rRNA from 1 species